rnacentral:sRNA from 1 species
UAUUUUGAUUUUGUUUCCUCAAUCCUUUUGCAGAAUCUAAAUUCUCUUCCAGUAAAGAAGAAUCAAAAUCCGAACGUUUAAUUGAGAGUUUUUAAGAUCAUUGGCUGCUCGAUUUCGAUCAUGAGAAGAAUAAAUCCUUCAUAUCCUAAUCGUGGCCGUAAUCGGAAUUGGAAGAAGGUAUCACCUCAAGGUUUCAAAUCGUGUUGAGAGGAUUUCGUUGGCUGGUGCAGAACAUAUCAAGAGAGUGUGUUUACGACUGAUUUGCCCUCUCGCCCGCUGCGUCUUCCCGUGUUUCAUAGAUCUGAUGGCUUGCUAAUCUCUGUUUUUUACAAUCGGAGAGUUUAGCAAAAGGUAGCAAAGCAAGGUGAUUGGAGUUUGAAGCUGAAGAUCGGUAAAAUCCUUGGUCAGAAAAAGCUUUUCUAUGGUGAAAGUCGAAGGAUUGAUCGGUGGUUCAGCUCGGUGGAGAUGGUGGUGGCUGUGCCUUUCCACUUCCAGCAUGCAUCAAUACACGUAUCUUCACACGUGUCCCUUUUAGACCUAUGUUCUCUUGUUUCUUCUUGUAAUUUUGGGCUAAUUGAGUUUAUCUUUUGUGUAAUUGGGCUCUUUAUCACCUUGUAAUCCUCUUUGGAUUUUAAUGAAAAGUUUGAC